rnacentral:rRNA from 1 species
CAGUAGCCGCGGGAAAACCAGCAGCCCAAGUGGUGGUCGCGUUUAUUGGGCCUAAAGCGCUCGUAGCCUGACCGGUAAGUUCCCCGUGAAAUCGGGUCGCCCAACGAUUAGGCUUGCGGGGAAUACUGUCGGUCUUGGGGCCGGGAGACGCCGAGGGUACUCCGGGGGUAGCGGUGAAAUGCUGUAAUCCUCGGGGGACUACCAGUGGCGAAGGCGCUCGGCGAUAACGGGCCUGACGGUGAGGGGCGAAAGCUGGGGGCGCGAACGGGAUUAGAUACCCGAGUAGUCCCUGUCUCUUAUU